GACGUAGGGGGCGAGCGUUGUCCGGAGUUACUGGGCGUAAAGGGCAUGCAGGCGGUCCGACACGUUUUGUGUGACAGCGGGUGGCUUAACUACCCGAGGAUACGAAAGACGGUUGGACUUGAGGACUCGAGAGGGACACGGAAUUCCGGGUGGAGUGGUGAAAUGCGUAGAGAUCCGGAGGAACACCGAAGGCGAAGGCAGUGUCCUGGCGAGUGACUGACGCUGAGGUGCGAAAGCCAGGGGAGCGAACGGG
rnacentral:rRNA from 1 species